rnacentral:rRNA from 1 species
AUUGAACGCUGGCGGCAUGCCUUACACAUGCAAGUCGAACGGUAACAGGUCUUCGGAUGCUGACGAGUGGCGAACGGGUGAGUAAUGCAUCGGAACGUGCCCAGUAGUGGGGGAUAGCCCGGCGAAAGCCGGAUUAAUACCGCAUACGAUCUAUGGAUGAAAGCGGGGGACCGUAAGGCCUCGCGCGAUUGGAGCGGCCGAUGUCAGAUUAGGUAGUUGGUGGGGUAAAGGCUCACCAAGCCAACGAUCUGUAGCUGGUCUGAGAGGACGACCAGCCACACUGGAACUGAGACACGGUCCAGACUCCUACGGGAGGCAGCAGUGGGGAAUUUUGGACAAUGGGCGCAAGCCUGAUCCAGCAAUGCCGCGUGCAGGAAGAAGGCUUUCGGGUUGUAAACUGCUUUUGUACGGAACGAAACGGCGAGCUCUAAUACAGUUUGCUAAUGACGGUACCGUAAGAAUAAGCACCGGCUAACUACGUGCCAGCCGCCGCAGUAAGAC